AUGAUGCAGCCGAAUCCCAUGUUCGAAUAUCAGGGGGGAUGGAACCCUCAUAUGCAGCAGAUGCCGCAAUGGCCCCAACACCCCAACUUCCAGUUUCAGUAUAUGACAGCUGCGGCAGGUUUUCAACAGCAAUUUAGUCCAGCAAAUCAGAAUUUGCAGUCAACUCAGGCAGUUCAGUGCAGUGGUGGAAGUUCUUCGGUGAGUGGGGGUGAUCAGUCUCAAGCUGGUCACAACAAGAGCAAGAAAAAGAAAAAUAAAAAUCAGGGUGUUGCUAUCCAGGCUCAGAGUGCUAUGCGUGAAGAUGAUCCCCUUUUCACUAUGGACCCAAAAUAUGUUGGAGCCAUCUGUUAUAACUGCGGACUCCCUGGACAUUUUGUUGGCAUGUGCGCAAUCCCUAAAGUGUGCUUCAUGUGCAAGACCCCUAGGCACCAUAUGGAUGCUUGCCCCUCUUGGUACAAAGCAUAUCCUGCAGCUACUUAUUGGGGGAGUGCUAGUCCUGGUCUUGGGUUUUUUCACAUUGAAACUAGUGGUGCAGGGGAUUGUGAGUGGCUCAAUUUUGGCAAUGUGGGACUUGUUCUUAUUUAA
rnacentral:rRNA from 1 species